rnacentral:lncRNA from 1 species
ACAACUCCUCUAAUUCUUUCUCCUUCGCACACUCUGCAAGUUCAGUGAGUUUUACAAUUCGUCUGGGCUUCUUUGGAUCCUUUGAGUAUGAGAUUUUUCCUCUGUCUAUGUUCAUAUUUCUUAUAUGAAUUCUGUCUUUUGUGAUUUUUCAUUCUGUUUGCCUCAAUUUUCGAGUGUCUAUUGUGUUUAUUAAAUUUUAUAAGUUUUCUCCCCAAUUUUUUUCUCCUUAUGUUGUGUACUGGAUUUCACUUCUGGAUUUCUUUGAAAGUUUUGUCUAUUUUUGUUCGAUGUUGGUUUCUCUAUUCUUUUGAAUAAUUUCUUGCUAGAUUUUCUAUCUCAUUUUGAUAUGCAUGUCUGGAAAGAAAUAUCUAGGUGCAUUGCACCACAUAUACUAGCAUUCUCAUAAAAAGAAAUACCUAAGUGCAUGCUCUUUGUGUUCUGAUCUUGAUUGUGUAAAUUGGGGUAUUUAGUGGAAAAAAUUUUUUCUUUAAAGGUUCUGAUUAAGGGUGAAAUAGGUUGUAUUAUCGAAUUAUGAAUUAUUUUCGGAGUAAUUUCAUAUUUGAUCUUUAUUCGAAGUAUGUAUACUGCUUUAAUGGCAGACUUGAGUGCUACAGGUGUCAUGAGCAGCUUCCUUCUUUCAUUUGUUCUCUUUCAGGACAUUCUUAAGUUUUCAGAUAAGAGGGUUGAUGAUUCAUUUUUCCUCCAUAUUUCGCAAAAGUUCAUUUGAUUGCAGUGCAAAGCUAUCCGCAUAUGGAAGAAGAUUUGUAAGGGGAAAAAAGUAAGUUUUAGUCAUCCUGUGUGUUUUUGUCUUCCUUACUGCUCUUGGCCAUGGAUUCUUGAUUCAUUUCAAAAUUUCUAUUGUGGUUUCCCUUUGUAUGUGGAUUUGCUGAUUUUUUUUCUCUUUUUCUUAUUGAUGAGCAUUUAGAUGUUCGAUUCUAUUUUUGAUAAGAUUAUUGAUUUACAAUUUUCACUCGCUCUCUGAAAGUAUCUUUGCAUUUCGCUUUGUUUUUCUUUUUAAUACUCCUACAGAGUAUGUGAUUUUGAAUAUUUGUUUGCUUUUUCUCUUUCUUCAUGUAUGUAGUUAUUUGUUAGAACUCUUCUAUGGAAGCACUGAAUGUUCAUCAAGAAUAAAUAGUAGUAACAAAAAUGGAAGAACUUUGAUGCAACAAAAGUGUUUGACAAUAAACCUGAAACAACUGAAAGAGCUUUUAUUCCUCUUUUUUCAGUUGUUCUAUAACAUAAAUAUACUAUCAUUUAGCAACUCCAAAUCUAUAUUACUUUUACUAGUAUUAAGAGAAAGCAAUGAGAGUUCUAAUCAUCAAACCGUUCCGACACACGGUUUAAAACUAGAGUCACCCCUAGGCGCCACACCUCAUAAUGACAAAUCCCGAGUCACAAAUCACAAAUCAAAUACACAUGGAAUCUCAUGCCCCCAUUAUCAAUCACCUUCGCACGGCUAAGAUCUCGUUCUAUAGUAUAACUCACAACCGUACGGACAACUCAUGUAUUUCCUAGACAACUCGCGUGCCAAUAUCACAAUCCACCCAGCAUGGUCACAUGCUCAAUAUCACAAUCCACCCGGUGUGGUCACAAGAUCAAUAUCGCAAUUAGCCCGGUGUGAUCACGGGCUACCAUUCCAAACCAUAUCGCAGAAAAACUAGAUAUACAAUAAUACAUGUACAUUAUCAAUGAACAUCAUGUUUUAUACUCCUGGACCGGUAUAAAUGACAUGUUACAGUAUAUGCAUGUACAAGUGUAAUAUCACAGCUCAAAUCAUCAAGUAAUAUCAUAAACAUUGAGUAGCACAUUGGGAACAACAAAACAAGUCACGUAAUAUGCAUGACAUGCACAAGAAAGUCAAAAACAACAACCAUAAUACUCGUCUUUCAUCAACAACAUGCCCCUAAGACAUCACAUAACAUCCCCAUAUCGCCACCCUUAUCUCACUAUUUUGACAAUAUCAUAAUAGCCACAUGUAUCGCUCCACUCGGACAAUAUAUCAAUAGCCACUCGUAUCCCUCCGCCCCGACAAUAACACAAUAGCCACCCUUAUCACUCCGCCCAGACAAUAACACAAUAGCCACAAGUAUCACUCCACCUAGAAAAUAACACAAUAGCCAUUUGUAUCACUCCGGUCGGACAGAAUAUCAAUAGGCACUAGUAUCACUCCGCACAAUCAACAAUAGUGAAAUGACACCCUUAUGAUCUGCACAAUCAACAAUAGUGAAGUGCCACCCUUAUGCUCCACACAAUAAUGAUCAAUCCCCACAACAUGUCCACAUAUGCCACAAUAUUUCCAAAACAACGAUACCAAUAUCAUAAUAAAGCAUAGCCCAUGGCUCAACAACAAUGUGUACUAGAAUUUCAAAAACAACAAAAUGAAAUGGGAAAUAAGUUGAAAAUAAAAGAUAUUUCAUAUAACAACAACUUCAAUUAAAAGCAUAUGAAUAACCUAAGGGUCCAAAACGAUCAAUUCCAUAUAUAAGAUCGGGUACAAACGUGUCACCCUGUAUACACGACUUUUACAUAAUUCAAAUAAUGCAAUUAGACCAAAUCUUGUAAGAUAGAUUCCUCCACACAAAGUUAGGCAAGAUAUUUAUCUUAAAAAAUAAAAUCAAUCCACUAAUAAGCCUUUUCUACGUGAAACAACCUCUGAACAGCUCGAAUCUAGUCAAAAUAACAUAAUUUCAUAUAUAAAAGCCAUAGAAAACAUUUUUCGAAUAAUAAAGAUUCGAUCUUGAACAAGAAUCAAAAAUUUUACCUUGGUUCUGCACCUUGGAACCCAACAAAACUUACAAAUUCUAAACACAUAUUCAAAUUCGAGUUCAACCAUACCAAAAUCAUCCAACUCCGACCUCAAAUCAGCCUUCAAAUUAUCAAUUUAUGUUGUAGAAAAGUUUUUACUAAAAUUCCCAAUUUCUCCAAUUUAAAACAUCAAGCAAACACUAAAAUCGAGGUUAGAAUCAUGAAAUAUAAAUAAAUCCGAGUCAAACACUUAUCCCAUUCCUAAUAUUGACCAGGGGUCCUCUUCGAGAUCGCGGGACUUGCUUCGCUAUAGUAAAGAGCAAAUCAUAAGAUUCCAAGAUUCCCUCUACGCGAAUGCAGUGUGAAGCCCGCGAAUGAGACCCCUCAGCUAAUCUAGCUUAUGUGAACACAACCUCAGUAUGUGAAUGCAAAGGCCAACCAUUGGCGCCCCUUCCUGCUCUGCCUCUACACGAUCGCGACACAAGGAACAUGAACGUUAUGAACAUCUCCCCUCCAGGUUCCGUGAAUGCGAAAACCGAAUCACAGAUGCGAUGAGCAAGUACUCAGCCACCCAAAAUACACUUCACAAUCGCAUAUUGCCUUCCUCAAUUGCGACGAACUGUAGAACAUCAGAAAAACCAGCAAUUCCAAAACAUGAAGAAAUGGCUCGUAGCCCAUCCGAAACACACCUGAGGCCCCGAGACCCCAUCCAAUCACACUAACCAAUCUCAAAACAUAAUAGGGACCUACUCGAUACCUCAAAUCACACCAAAAAUUAUCAAAACUAUGAACCACACCUCAAUUCAAGCCUAAUGAAUAAAUAAAAUUUCAACUUCCAAAGUUCAUGUCGAACUAUAUGAAAUCAAUUUGGAAAAACUUAAAAUUUUGCAUGCAAGUCCCAAAUGAUACAACAGACCUAUACCAACUCCGGAAAUCAUAAUCUGAACUUGAUAUGAACAAAGUCAACUCUCAAUCAAACCUAUCAACCUUACAAACCUUUUACUAUUCAACUUUCGCCAAUUCAAGCCAAAACAACCUAAGAGCCUCAAAAUCCACCUCCGGACAUACGCCUAAGUCAAAAAUCACCAUUUGGACCUAACAGGGCCAUCAAAACUCUAAUCCAAGAUCAAAUAUGCAAAAGUCAAACUUGGUCAACUCUUUCCAAUUAAAGCUUCUAAAAGAAGAAUUAUCCUUCUAAAUCCAUCCCAAACUGCUCAAAAACCCAAAACCGAACACGCAAAUUUUAAUACAUCAUAUGAAUCUACUCUCAACCUCGAACCGCUGAACAAAAAUCCAAAUGAUCAAAAUGACCAGUAAGGUCAUUACAGAUGUGGUACAGAAUAUUUUUCUCCUGUGUUAUAAGGACAUACUACUAUAGUCACCCUUGGGAGGGCUAGCCGUCUAUUGCAUCCCAAGUGCUAGUGUUUCCCAGGGGUUCGAGGCAUGAUACAAUGUAUUGUGAUAAUUCAUGCAUCGGUCUUGAUGCGGUGUUAGUGCAUAAUAGUAGAGUGAUUACUUAAGUUUGCAGCAGCAGCGGUCCUAUGAGAAGGAUUAUCCACUUUAUGAUUUGGAGCUUACAUCUAUUCCAAUAGAGGAGAGGCAUUUGGUUAUGGAUGUUUAGACUAUGGUCGAUAGAUUUGCGACUAUUUCUGAGCUUAAUAGAGUUCUCACUUGUAUUGCUGCGCAAUCAUCCUUGUUUGACCAUAUUAAGGAUAUUCAGUAUGAUGGUUUCCAUUUGUUUUUCCUUAGGAACAAGAUUGGGGAGGUAGUGCUAAGGAGGUAAUCCUUACUAUGGACGGUGUGGUGCGACUUCUGGGUCGAAUUUGUGUUUUCAGUGUUAAUGGUUCGAGAGAUUGAUUCUUGAGGAGGUUCGUAGUUGUGGUAUUUUAUUCGUACAGGUGAUACAGAGAUGUAUCAUGAUUCGAGCUAGCAUUAUUGGGGCAGCUGAUGAAGAAGGACAUUAUUGGGCAUGUCUCAUGGUGUUUGAUUAUCAACAAGUUUAGAAUGAGCAUCAUUGGUCGAGUGGUUUACUUUGAAAGAUAGCUAUACUGGUGUGGAAGUGAGAGCAUCCAAAUCCACUACUAAAAUGUAAAUGGACAUGGUCGCAUGUAAUAUAAUAUACCCAACUAUGAGUCGGGAUCGAAUCCCACAGAGAACAAUAUGUAGGCGAUUAGGAAUGUAAGAGAAUUAUCACUUGUUAUGCAAUGUCAAACAUUAAGAAUAGAUUUGAGAAAAGAUUUAUAUCUAAAAGCGGAAAUGUAAACUAACCUAGAAAGCAAGUAAAAUGAUCAACGGCUACAAGUAUGGAUGCAUCGGGAAUUACACACAAGUAACGAUCUAAUGUAUUUCAUGAUUUUACAAAUAUGAGCGAGUUUAUUUUAAUUAGCCACGGGUAAUAAUUCUAUAUUAGCUUCUUCCAAAGACUAACAAGACUUCCUAAUUGAAUUAUCCCUUAAACCAAUUAAGAGAUUAAGCACACCCGAUUAUGGCUACAAGUAGUUCAAUCAUAUCCCUAAGUAGAAUCUAUAAAAUGAGGGUUUAAGCCUUAAGUUCUUGUUAAUUAAUCUUUCCCAACCCCAAUAAUUUUUCGCAAAAUUAAUUAGGAGUUAAUGGGCAAGUCCUAGGGUUAGCUAAUCCCUUUGGAAACACUAAAGAACAAGAAUAAUUAAAGAAACAAUAACUCACUUCAUAAAAAGAUAAAAAUUAUUCAAUACAUAAACACAACAAGGUAUUUAAUUCACACUUUAAAUCUGAUUAUUUCCAUAAACAAGAUUCAAAUGUUAAAUAAAAUACUACACACUAAGAUAUUCAAUACGAAGCAAAGAAUGAAGAAAUGAACAUAAAUGGGUAAGAAAUUCUCAAACAAUAGCUUCAAAUCUUCAAGACCCAAGUGUGUGUACAAACCCUAGCUCCCAAAACUUGUUCUCUCUAGUGUUUGGAACUGAAAAUAAGCAAAAACAAUCUUUACAAAUGAGAUGGUUUGUGUAUUAAAUGGUUUGGAGUCAGAGUUGUGAAUUUCUAGAACUACCCAGUUUUUUUGCCUAGUUUCUUCUUCGCGUUCGUGACUACACCCUCGCAUUCGCAAAGGUUUGUUUUCCAAAAGCUUUGCGUUUGCGUCUGAACCUUCGCGUUCGUGAAGGUUUGAGUUCUGAUGCUUCGCGUUCGCAUUAGGUACUUCGCAUUCGCGAAGAUCUAGUUUCCUACUUCUUCGCGUUCGCGAAGGGUAAAUCGCUGGGCAGGUUCUCAUUAUCCAUUUUAGCUCCUUUUUGACUUGUUUUCACUUGGUUUCUUCACCACUACUCCUAAUUCACAUACAACCUGUAAAAUAGAAGUAAAUGACAUCAAACACAUGAUUUUAUCACUCAAACAUAGCAAAAAUAUAGGCUUAAAGACAAGAUAAGUUGGUAAAAUACCAACUUAUCAAACCCCCAAACUUAAACUAUUGCUUGUCUUCAAGCGAUGAAAGCGACAAAAUCUCCUCGCAAGUAUUUAACUCAAUAAUGCAUCCAUAUCAUGCCAAGCCAAAAAGGUCUACUAUAAGCACAAACACAUGACUUCGAUUGGUACCAAUAAUUAAUCCAAACCAUAUGAAUUACCAAACAUUGCUCAUGAACUUCAUUAUAUUUCAAGUGCUCAAACACUACAAAUCAAAGUAGCAAUCAAGUCAUGACACUAAAGCUUCACAAUUUGCCUUUUUAUCACAAUUAACUUUCUUUGGUCAUUCCUUCCAAUUGAAAUGGGAUUAAAUUCAAAACUCAAAUCUCAUGGUCCCUCACAUUUAAAAGAGAAUCUCACACUCAUAAAUCUUAAUUCAAAACAAUAAUGGGAUAUCAAAUGGAAAGAAUUAACUCUCUCUCACAAAGAUGUUCCAAUGCAUACAAGUAGUACCAUAGGCUUGCCCUUCAUGUAUUUCUCCACUAAUAUAGACAACUUGGUUCAAAAUCAUUUAGGACUUAAAGGGUUGUGGUUUAGGCUUUUGGUUAAGGUAGGGCACAAUUUUGGUUAGAGUGACUCAAAACCUCCCCAAGCACUACAAUAUUUACAAUCAAAGUCCACUUCCUUCAAAAACAUUGUCCAUCAUUUCUUCACUUUUUUAUUCCACACCUAAUCUUCCCUUUAUUCAUAACUUCUUAUAAUUUAUUUUUUCUUCCUUCCUUUUCAAUAUCAAGGAAAGUUUCACUUUUUUUUUUAUUAUUACCUUCCACCUUUUAAGCAACUUCUAUAUCACAACUUUUUCAACCUUCACCCCCAAACUUAGGCUUUUAGCCUAUGUUUACACUUCCAAAGUACUUAGGGAGGUAGGUUGCCAAAAUCUAGAUUAAUAAAGAAUAAAGGAUUAAAGCUUGUAACAUGGCUGCCAAAGAACAAGGUUAAAGGCUCAAAAUGGGUUGACUAGGAAAAUAUUCAAGGGUAGGAAAUUUAAGGCACAAUAGCGGUCCAAAGAAGGCCUAAUAUUAUUUUUCAAAUCAAACUAGUCUAUGAUUUCUCCUUGAAGCACAUUCUGGGCAAGGUCUAGACUAAAAAUAAUGUAAAAGAACUCACAAUAAAUCUCACCACACAUGGCACAUGAACACUCAAGUGGAAUACAAAUCCAAAAUCCAAUUGAAACCAAUGACUCAAAGAGGUUACAUAUAUCAUAGGAAGCUAUUUAGUGAAUCAAAGAGCCAAAAAUUUUAGUCUAAAAGUCAUGACAAUGAUCUUUACUUGAAUUAUUUUUCUUUUUCAACGACCAAAAAUUCAUAUGCUGAGGUUUAAAUCAUGUUGGUACCAAGCAAGCCACAACUUGAUCAAUGGGCACAAACCCCAACUCAAACCACUUAUUCUUCUAAGAAAGUCGCCUAGUUAUCCAUCAUCGGGAAAAGUCGACAAAAAUUUACUAACAAUUACCCGGUUCAAAAAAAAUUUGCAUCCUCAGAAAAAGAACCGUGGUACAAAGAAAACCAAGGAAAUCGCCACCAAAAUACAGCAUACUAUAUAAACAAAAAAUUAAAAAGCUAGUAAACAUCAAGUCACUAAAACAUACUGUAUAUAAAAACAAAAAUUCAAGAAACUAGUAAACAUACUAAUAUAACACAUUACAUGAAAAUACAAUAACAAUUAAUAAACUAAAGCAUCGACCAAUCUACACAAAUUAUCACACAAAAAAGAAAAAAUUGUUCAUGCUCCACAUACAUCCAUCAUAUAUAAAUGAGUCACCCCCAACCUAAAGUGUUACACUGUCCUCAAUGCAACUAAUCAAAACAAGAUAAAAUGAAGGAGGUGCUCCCUGAAAAUGCAUCAGUCGGAGCUGGAGGUGGUGGGAAAAUUGAGCUCCAAAUCGGCAUCAUCAUCAUCAUCUUAUUCAUGUGACCCACAAAUGAACUCAGCUUGUACAUCAUCUUGGAUAGAAAUUUGCUUUUCUUCUUCUCAUGCUCCUUGAACUUCCUCUGCCUCUUCUCAAUCUUCCCUUGUCGGUGGCUCAUAUUCUCCAGCCUGGUGUUCAUGGUCUCCAUCUUGCCCGUGAUUGCUUGUUACUCUUUGACUACAUCAUCCAUGGAUGGUGGGGCAGCAGUGCUAGUAGAUGUGCUAGCUCCAGGUGGGCUAGUAGUAAGGCCAGCUAUAAGUUGUCGAAUAUGUGCAUCUACUCCAUGUAUCUGACUGGAUAAGUGGCGCAUAGUGUGCGGGCCGGACUAGAGUGGUCCCAUGGGGUCAAAUGACCCUAAUACAGGUGCAAAGGAUCCAGCAGGAUCAGUGGUGGCCUCAGAGAACUGCCCAAAUGAAGAGGAUGUAACAUCAAUUCUCCUCUUUUUCUACUUGUCACUGGGUCCCCUUUUCAGCAAAGGAUGCAUCGGGAAUUACACACACGUAACGAUCCAAUGUAUUUCAUAAUUUUACAAAUAUGAGUGAGUUUAUGUUAAUUAGUCACGGGUAAUAAUUCUAUAUUAGCUUCUUUCAAAGACUAACAAGACUUCUUAAUUGAGUUAUCCCUAAAACAAUUAAGAGAUUAAGCACACCUGAUUAUGGCUACAAGUAGUUCAAUCUUAUCCCUUGGUAGAAUCUAUAAAAUGAGGGUUAAAGCCUCAAGUUCUUAUUAAUUAAUCUUUCCCAAACCCAAAUAAUCUUUCCCAAAAUUAAUUCAGAGUUAAUGGACGAGUCCUAAGGUUAGCUAAUCCCUUUGAAAAUAUUAAAGAACAAGAAUAAUUAAAGAAACAAUAACUUACUUCAUAAAAAGAUAAAAAUCAUUCAAUACAUAAGCACAAUAAGGUAUUUAAUCCACACUUUAAAUAAGAUUAUUUUCAUAAACAAGAUUCAAGUGUUAAAUAAAAUACUACACACUUAGAUAUUCAAUAUAAAGCAAGGAAAUGAAGAAAUGAACAUAAAUGGGUAAGAAAUUCUCAACUAAUAGCUUCAAAUCUUCAAGAUCCAAGUGUGUGUGCAAACCCUAGCUCCCAAAACUUGUUCUCUCUAGUGUUUGGAACUGAAAAUAAGCAAAACAAAUUUUUACAAAUGAGUUGGUUUGUGUAUUAAAUGGUUUGGGGUCAAAGUUGUGAAUUUUCAGAACUGCCCAGUUUUUCUGCCUAGUUUCUUCGUCGCGUUCACGACUACACCCUCGCAUUCGCGAAGGUCAAUUUUCCUUAAAAUUUGGGUUUGCGUCUGAACCUUCGCGUUUGCGAUGGUUUAAGUUUUGAUGCUUCGCGUUCGAGUUAGGUACCUCAUGUUCGCAAAGGUCUAGCUUCCUGCUUCUUCACGUUCGCGUUGGACCUUCGCGUUCACGAAAGGUAAAUCGCUGGGCAGGUUCUCAUUAUCCAUUUUAGCUCCUUUUUGACUUGUUUUCACUUGGUUUCUUUACCAUUACUCCUAAUUUAAAUACAACCUGUAAAAUAGAAGUAAAUGACAUCAAACACAUGAUUUUAUCACUCAAACAUAGCGAAAAUAUAGGCCUAAAGACAAGAUAAUUGGUAAAAUACCAACUUAUCAGUAUGAUUAUAGGGUUUGUGGUAGGGUUGCCAUGGGUUUCAAGGAAGUUUGAUUCUAUUUGGGUCAUUAUGGACAAUUGAGGGCAUUUCAUAUUGCUGGUGAAUUCUUACAUUUUGAGAGUUCAAAUUUAACAAGAAGGAUUUGCUUGAGCUAUUAAAAGAUUGUGCAUGCUUGAUUAUCAUUCUUGUGUGCAAUGUUAUUUUGAAGUAGGUUUUGUUUAUAUGUCUUCUAUUUAUUCAUUGAUGGAAUGUAGUAUUUUUUUGUGUCCCAUGGUCGAGUAUAGACUCAGAAGAAUCAAUUGAUUACAUAGUGGUUAUAUUCGAAGCAAGGUCAUAUGAAGAUAUUGAUAUGAUGUCACACGGGUGGUCUAUCUCAUGUGAGAAGGUUAGAGGUUACAUGAUUCAUUAUGAGAUUCUUAUGAAGAGGUUUACCUUCUACCCGAUGGGAUGUAUGUGGUACGAUAUGAGUAAGGUUGAGUGUGAAUUGGGUUGAUAGUUUGGGUUGCGUUAUGGUUAGUGCAGCAUGGACUUACAAGAAAUUCAACUGAGUAAUCGUGUGGGAUCAUGGCAGUUAAAAAGAAGCAGCCGUAAUGGGUUCUUAUGUUAUGUGUUUAUGGCUUAAAGCCAAGUGGGGAGCCCACCAUUGGCGAUUAGGUCUCCUACCAUGUGUUGUUACAGAUUACAGAUUAAAGGGCGCUUGUGGAUUUGAUAUGACUUGAGGAUGAUGACUUCAAGGAUGAAUCGGUCUAGAAAUUUUUAGAUGUGUGUUAUAUUUGACUUAGUAAAAUAUGGAUACUGUGGAAGGACUCGGGUUCGAUAUUCUUUAAUGGAGGUAGUGUGAAAGGGAAAGGAUUCGCUCAAUUAUUUCUGUUGUGGUAUUCAUGCGAUAAUGGAGCACUAAUCAUUCGACAUGAUUGGCUUUGUAUUCAAGAUUAGGACUGAGAGGGUGUUCCUCGAGAAGGUUCUAAUAGAUUCAAGAUUAAAUAUGUGGUAUCUAAGGAUUUCUGGAUUUGGGCGUGACUAAGGAUUCAAGAUUUUACGUUGCAUUGUGAAAGAGACUUGGAGCAUUUCUGUAUUACUAUCAAUUUUGUGAGGCAGUGUUUGAGAGAUGGAAUAAAUAACUUCAGAUUCAUAGAAGACCUCUUUAGAGCAGGUAUUUUGGUUUGAAGUACUAUUUGGCAUAUAAGAGGGAAUAAAGUGGCUUACGAGUCUUAGGAUGAUGAUAUUUCAUGUUCGGAUCACUUGGGAUGAGUUUGAUGGAGGUCCAUAGUGUAUUGGGAAAGAGUACUGUUUCUGUAAAGGUGGAUCAUGAGUAAUCUAAAAAAAUUAGGUCCGAUUAGCUCGGUGACACCAGAUUUUGGAUAGUUUCAGUUGUAUUUAAUUAUGACUUCAGUUAUUAAUGCUAUUCCAUAGUUUGAGACUAUUUUUUAUUAUUUUUGGAUUUUAAUUCUGCAUAUCUAUUAUUGUCUUUCCUAGCAAGCAUUAUUAGGCACCAUCAUAACUCUAGAGGGAUUCUAGAUCGUAAAAAGUUGGUAUCAAAGCACUAGAAUCAUAUAGGUCUCACAAGUCAUGAGCAUACCUAGUAGAGUCUUGCAGAUCGGCAUGGAGACAUCUGUAAUUAUAUUUGAUAGGCUAUAGGGUUUAGGAACUUUCCCUUGCUUGAUUCCUUAUCGUGCAACUUUAUCUCGGCUUAAAGCAUGUAUCUUUAGUUCUUUCCUAUUCAUUAGUAUGUGAUGUUGAGUACUUGAUAUUAGUUGGGCAUCAACGAGUUGUUUUGAUGAUACAGAUGUGGUGCAGAAUAUAUUUUUCAUGUAUUAUGAGGACAUGCUACUAUUGUCGCACUUGGGAGGGGUUGUCGUCUAUUGCAGCCCCAGUGUUGGUGUUGCCCAGGGGUUCGGAGCAUUAUAUAAUGUAUUGUGAUAAUUCACACAUUGGUCUUAAUGCAGUGUUGGUGUAGAAGAGUAGGGUGAUUGCUUAAGUUUUCAGCAGCAUCAAUCCUAUGAGAAGGAUUGUCCAGCUUAUGCUUUGUAACUUGCAUCUAUUCCUAUAGAGGAGAGGCAUUUAGUUAUGGAUGUUCAGGCUUUGGCUGAUAUAUUUGCGAGUGUUUCUAAACUUAGUAGAGUUAUCACUUGUGUUGCUACACAGACAUCCCUGUUUGACCAUAUUUAGGAUCGCCAGUAUGAUUGUUUCCAUUUUCUUAUCCUCAGGAACACAGUUUUGGGAGGUAGUGCUAGGGAGGUAAUCCUUGGUGUGGAUGGAGUGGUGCAACUUCUGGGUUAGAUUUGUGUUAUUAAUGUUAAUGGUUCGGGAGAUUUAAUUCUUGAUGAGGGUCGUAGAUGUGAUAUUCUAUUUGUCCAAGUAAUACAGAAUGUACCAUGAUUUGAGCCAGCAUUAUUAGGGCAGAGGAUAAAAACGACAUUACUAGGCAUGUCUCAUGGUAUUUAAUUAUCAACAAGUCAAUAAUGAACAUUAUUGACCCAGUGGUUUACUUUGAGAGAUAGCUAUACUAGUGUGGAAGUGAGAGUGUAUCAUUAUGGGGUUUGUGGUAGGGUUGCCACGGGUUUUGAGGAAGUUUGAUGCUAUUUGGGUCAUUAUGGACAAUUGAGGGCAUUUUGUAUUGGUGGUGAUUUCAUACGCUUUGAGAGAACAAAUUUAACAAGAAGGAAUUGCUUGAGCUAUUAAAAGAUUGUGAAUACUUGACUAUCAUUUUGGUGUGAAAUACUAUUUUGAGGUAGGAUUUGUGAUAGGUAUUCUAUUUAUUCAUUGAUGGAAUGUAGUAGUUUUUUGUCGCCCGUAGUCGAGUAUAUACUUGAAAGGAUUAAUUGAUUACAUAGUGGUUGUAUUGGUAGCAAGGUCAUAUGAAUAUAUUGAUAUAAUGUCAUAGGUGGGCUAUCUCAUGUAAGAAGGUUAGAGGUGGCAUGAUUCAAUAUGAGAUUCCUAAAAAGAGUUUUACCUUCUACCCAGUAGGAUGUAUACGGUACGAUAUGAGUCUGAAUCGGUUGAAGAAGAUGGUACGACUACCACAAGGUUGAGUAUGCAUUAGGCUGAUAAUUUUCGCUGCGUUAUGGUUAGUGCAGCAUGGGCUUAUGAGAAAUUCAGUUGAGUAACCGUGUGGGAUCAUGGAAGUUAAAGAGGAGCAGCCAUUAUGGAAUAAUAGGAUAUGUCAUUAUGGCUUAAAGCCAAGGGGGAGCCCAUCAUCGCGAUUGGGCCACCUAGCCAUGUGUUGUUAUAGAUUCUAGACUAAAGGGUGCUUGUGGAUUGGAUAUGACUUAAGGAUGAUGACUUCAAGGAUGAAUCAGGCAAGAAAUUUUUUGGAUGUGUGUUAUAUUUGACUUGGUGAUACAUGGAGGUUAAGGAAGGAUUCAGAUUCGAUAUUCUUCAAUGGAGGUAGUGUGCAAGGGAAAAGAUUCACUCAGUUGUUUUUGGUAGAGUAUUUAUGUGCUAAUGUAGCACUAAUCAUUCCACAUGAUUAGCUAUGUAUUCAGGACUAGGACAGAGAGGGUGACCCUCGAGAAGGUUCUAAUGGAUUCAAGAUAAAAUAUGUGGUAUCUAAGGAUUUCCGGAUUUGGGUGUUACUAAGCAUUCAAGAUUUUACUUUGGAUUGUGAAAGAGACUAGCAGCAUUUCGGUAUUAUUAUCAGUUCUGCAAGGCAGUGUUUGAGAGAUGGAAGAAAUAAAUUAAGAUUCAUUUUAGGCCUCUUCAGAGCAUGUAUUUUGGUUUGAGGUAUUAUUUUGUGUAUAAUAGGGAAUAAAGUGGCUUACGAGUUUUAGGAUGACGAGAUUUCAUUUUUGGAUCACUUGGGAUAAGUUUGAUGGAGGUCCAUAUUGUAUUGGGAAAGAGUAAUGUUGUCGUGAAGGCCGAUCAAGAGUAAUCUGAAGAAAUUGAGUCCGUUUAGCACUCGGUGAUACUUGAUUUUGGAUAGUUUCAGUUGUAUUAUAUAAUGACUUAGUUAUUAAUGUUAUUCCACAGUUUGAGACUAUUUCUUAUUGUUGUUGAAGUUUAGUUCUGCAUAUCUAUUAUUGUCCUAGCAAGCAGUGUUAGACAUCAUCAUGGCUCCAAUGGGAUUCUGGGUCGUAACAAGUUGGUGUCAAAGCACUAGAAUCAAAUAGUUCUCAAAAGUAAUGAGCAUACCUAGUAGAGUCUUACGUAUCGGCAUGAAGACGUCUGUAAUUAUAUUUGAUAGGCUAUAGGGCUUUAGGAACUUUCCCUUUCUUGAUUCCUUAUCGUGCAACUUUAUCUCGGCUUAAUAUAUGUAUCUUUAGUUCUUUCCUAUUCAUUAGUAUGAGAUAUCGAGUACUUGAUAUCAGUUGGGCAUCGGCGAGUUGUGUUGAUGAUAUAGAUGUUGUGCAGAAUAUUUUUUCCAUGUGUUAUGAGGACAUACUACUAUUGUCGCCCUUGGGAGGGGUUUCUGUCUAUUGCAGAACAAGUGUUGGGAUUUCCCAGGGGUUCGGUGCAUUAUACAAUGUAUUGUGAUGAUUCAUAUGUCGGUCUUGAUGCAGUGUUAGUAUAGAAUAGUAGGGUGAUUGCUUAAGUUUGCAACAACAGGGGUCCUAUGAGAUUUAAUAUCCAGUUUAUGAUUUGGAGCUUGCAUCUGUUCCAAUAGAUGAGAGGCAUUUGAUUAUGGAUGUUCUGGCUUUGGUCUAUAGAUUUGCAAGAUUAGGUAUUUUUGAGCUUAUUAGAGUUCUCAUAUGUGUUGUUGCGCAGUCAUCCUUGUUUGACUGUAUUAAGGAUCGUCAGUUUGAUGGUUUUAAUUUGUUUGUCCUAAAGAACGCAAUUUUGCAUGGUAUUGCUAAGGAGGUAAUCCUUAGUGUAGAGGGUGUGUUGCGACUUCUGGGUCAAAUUUGUGUUUUUAGUGUUAAUGGUUCGAGAGAGUUGAUUCUUGAAGAGGGUUGUAGUUGUGGUAUUCUAUUCGUCCAGGUGAUACAAAGAUGUAUCGUGAUUUGAGCCAGCAUUAUUAGGGCGAAGGAUGAAGAAGGACAUUACUGGCACGUCUCAUAGUGUUUGAUUAUCAACAAGUCGAGACAUUGACUGAGUGGUUUACUUUGAAAGAUGGCUAUACUGGUGGGGAAGUGAGAGCGUUGAUUAUGGGGCUUGUGGUAGGGUUGCCACUGGUUUCGAUGAAGUUGAUACUAUUUGGGUCAUUAUGGACAAUUGAGGGUAUUUCAUAUUAGUGGUGACUGCAAACAUUUUGAGAGUUCAAGUUUAACAAGAAGGAUUUGCUUGAGCUAUUAAAAGAUUAUGAAUGUUUGAUUAUCAUCUUGGUGUGCAAUACUAUUUUGAGGUAGGAUUUGUUGAUAGGUCUUAUAUAUAUUCAUUGAUGGAAUGUAGUAGUUUUUUGUGGCCCGUGGUCGAGUAUAGACUCGGAAGGAUCAAUUGAUUACAUAGUGGUUGUAUUUGAGGCAAGGUUAUAUAAAGAUAUUGAUAUGAGGUCACAUAGGUGGGCUUUCUCAUGUGAGAAGGUUAGAGGUUUGCCUGAUUCAUUAUGAGAUUCUUAUGAAGAGUUUCACCUUUUAACCUAUGGGUUUUAUGUAGUACGAUAUGAGUCUGAAUCGAUUGAGGAAGAUAGCAUGACUGCCACAAGGUUGAGUGUGCAUAGGUCUGAUAAUUUAGGUUGCGUUAUGGUUAUUGCAGCACGGGCUUAUGAGAAAUCAGCUGAGAAACCACGUGGGAUCAUGGAAGCUAAAGAGGAGCAGUUAUUAUGGGUUCUUGGGUUACUCUGGCUUAAAGCCAAGUGGGGAACCUAACAUCGGCGAUUGGGUCACCUAGCCAUGUGUUGUUAUAGACUCUAGACUAAAGGGCUCUUGUGGAUUGGAUAUGAUUUAAGGAUGAUGACUUCAAGAAUGAAUUAGGCAAGAAAUUUUCUGGAUGUGUGUUAUAUUUGACUUAGUGAUAUAUGGAGGUUAUGGAAGGACUCAGGUUCGAUAUUUUUCAAUGGAGGCAGUAUGCAAGGGAAAGGAUUCGCUCGAUUUUUUUUGUUGGAGUAUUCAUGUGCUAAUGGAUCACUAAUCAUUCGACAUAAUUAUCUAUGUAUUCAAGACUAGGACUAAGGGGGUGACCUUCGAGAAGGUUCUAAUGGAUUCAAGAUUAAAUAUGUGGUAUUUAAGGAUUUCCGGAUUUGGGUGUGACUUAGGAGUCAAUAUUUUACGUUGGAUUGUGAAAGAGACUUGGAGAAUUUUAGUAUUAUUAUUAGUUCCAUGAGGCAGUGUUUGAGAGAUGGAAGAAAUAACUUCAGAUUCAUUGAAGGCCUCUUUAGAGUAGGGAUUUCGGUAUGAGUUACUAUUUGGUGUAUCAGAGGGAAUAAAGUGGCUUAUGAGUCUUAGGACGAUGAAAUAUAAUGUUCGGAUCACUUGGUAUGAGUUUGAUGGAGGUUCAUAGUGUAUUGGGAAAGAGUAAUGUUGUCGUGCAGGCGGAUCAUGAGUAAUCUGAAGAAAUUGGGUCCAUUUAACAAUCGAUGACACUAGAUUUUGGAUAGUUUCAAAUUGUAUUGUAUUAUGACUUCAGUUAAUAAUGGUAUUCCGCAGUUCGAGACUAUUUCUUAUUGUUGUUCAAGUUUAAUUAUGUAUAUUUAUUAUUGGCCUAGCAAGUAGUGUUAGAACCAUCAUGGCUCCCAUGGGAUUCUGGAUCGUAACAAGUUGGUAUCAAAGAACUAGAUUCAUAUAGGUCUCACAAGUCAUGAGCAUACCUAUAGAGUCUUAAGGAUCGGCAUAGAGACGUCUGUAAUUAUGUUUAAUAGGCUAUAGAGCUUUAGGAAAUUUUCCUUUCUUGAUUCCUUAUCGUGACACUUUAUCUCGGCUUAGAGCAUGCAUCUUUAAUUCUUUCCCAUUCAUUAGUAUGUGAUGUUGAGUACUUGAUAUCACUUGAGCAUCAACGAGUUGUGUUGAUGAUACAGAUUUGGUGGAGAAUCUUUUUCCUUGUGUUAUGAGGAUAUACUACUAUUGUCGCUCUUGGGAGGGGUUUCCGGCUAUUGCAGCCCUAGCAUUGGUAUUGCCCAGGGGUUUGGGGCGUUAUAUAAUGUAUUAUGAUGAUUCACACAUCAGUCUUGAUGUGGUGUUGGUGCAAAAAGGUAGGGUGAUUUCUUAAGUUUGUAACAACAGCAGCCCUAUGAGAAGGUUUAUCUAGUUUGGAGCUUGCAUCUGUUCUAAUAGAAGAGAGGCAUUUUGUUAUGGACAUUUAGGCUUUGGUCGGUAGAUUUGCGAAAUUGGGUAUUUCUGAGCUUAGUAGAGUUCUCACUUGUGUUAUUACGUAGUCAUCCUUGUUUGACUGCAUUAAGGAUCGUCAAUUUGAUGGUUCCAUUUGCUUGUCCUCAGGAACAUAGUUUUGGGAGUUAGUGCUAAGGAGGUAAUCCUUAGUGUGGACAGUGUGGUGCAACUUCUAGGUCGAAUUUGUGUUUUCAGUGUUAAUGGUUCAAGAGAGUUAAUUCUUGAGGAGGGUCGUAGUUGUGGUAUUUUAUUCAUCCAGGUGAUACGAGGAUGUAUCAUGAUUCGAGUCAGCAUUAAUUGAGCGGAGGAUGAAGAAGGACAUUACUGGCAUGUCUCAUGGUGUUUGAUUAUCAACAAGUCGAGAAUGAGUAUCAUUGACCGAGUGGUUUACUUUAAAAGAUAGCUAUUCUGGUGUGGAAGUGAGAGCAUAUAAUUAUAGGGUUUGUGGUAGGGUUGCCAUGGAUUUCAAGGAAGUUUGAUGCUAUUUGGGUCAUUAUGGACAAUUGAGGGCAUUUCAUAUUAGUGGUGACUUCUUACAUUAAGAGUUCAAAUUUAACAAGAAGGACUUGCUAUAGCUAUUAAAAGAUUUUGAAUGCUUGAUUAUCAACCUGGUGUGCAAUACUGCUUUGAGGUAGGAUCUGUUGAUAGGUCUUCUAUUUAUUUAUUGAUGGAAUGUAGUAUUUUUUCGUGGCUCGUGGUCGAGUAUAGACUCAGAAGAAUUAAUUGAUUACAUAGUGGUUGUAUUCGAAGCAAUGUCAUAUGAAGAUAUUGAUAUGAGGACACAUAGGUGGGCUAUCUAAUGUGAGAAGGUUAGAGGAUUCAUUAUUAGAGGUUGAGUGUUCAUUGGGCUGAUAAUUUGAGUUGUGUUAUGGUUGGUGUAGCAUGGACUUAUGAGAAAUUCAACUAACCAUGUGGGAUCAUGGCAGUUAAAAAGGAGGAGUUAUUAUGGGUUCUUAGGUUAUGUGAUUAUGUCUUAAAGCCAAGUGGGGAGCCCACCAUCAGUGAUUGGGUCACCUACCCAUGUGUUGUUAUAUAUUAAAGACUAAAGGGCGCUUAUGGAUUUGAUAUGACUUAAGAAUGAUGACUUCAAGGAUGAAUCGGGCAAGAACUUUUCUAGAUGUGUGUUAUAUUUGACUUAGUGAUACAUAGAGGUUAUGGAAGGACUCAGAUUCGAUAUUCUUCAAUGGAGGUAGUGUACAAGGGAAAGGAUUCACUCGGUUGUUUCUGUUAGAGUAGCUAUGUGCUAAUGGAGCACUAAUCAUUCCACAUGAUUGGCUAUGUAUUCAGGACUAGGACUGAGAGGGUGACCCUCGAGAAGGUUCUAAUGGAUUCAAGAUUAAAUAUGUGGUAUCUAAGGAUUUCAAAAUUUUGGUGUGACUUCAAGAUUUUACGUUGGAUUAUGAAAGAGACUUGGAGCAUUUCUGUAUUAUGAUCUGUUCUGCAAGGCAGUGUUUGAGAGAUGGAAGAAAUAACUUCAGAUUCAUAGAAGGCCUCUUCAAACAGGUAUUUUGGUUUGAGGUACUAUUUGGUGUAUAAGAGGGAAUAAAGUGGCUUGUAAGUCUUAGGACGACGAGAUUUAAUGUUCGGAUCACUUGGUAUGAGUUUGAUGGAGUUCCAUGGUGUAUUGAGAAAGAGUAUUGUUGCCGUGAAGGCCGAUCAUUAGUAAUCUAAGGAAAUUAGGCCCGUUUAGUAGUGGCUUGGAUCAGCAUGGUAAUAGAUUGAUUGGUCCCUUUGGUAUAAUAAGGCUUCAUAGGUGUUUUUGUGGUAAUAAUAUUUGGUUUGGCAGCCUGCAUGAUUUAGUUAAUUAUGCAAAUGGAUUCUAAAGAGUUUGUGAUAAUAUUGACGACGACUUACAGUUGGUGUCUUUUACAAGCAUGGGGAGUUAGUUGCAUGUUGUGAUUUUAUCCUGAAUUAAGACUAAGUAGAAGGUUUCUGAUCGAUGGACUAUGUACCAUAUUCGUGAUUCAGAGUUGAUAAUGGGAUAUUCAUAUUUUCGCAUAGUAGUGUGAUAGAUGUGGGGAGUUAUGUUGAACUGGGAUUGAUUGAACAAGAUUGUGAUUCAGUUUUGAAAGGAAGGUCAUGAGUUCUAGAUAGCGUGAGAGAUUUCAAAUGUUUGUAAGUAUGCUAGCACUAUCUUGUAUCGCUUGAGAAAGGUAUGUUUUAAGAAAGAUGCAUUGUGUAUUAGUUUGCGGAUGCUUGACUAGUACUACAGGAAUCACACAGUUGGUAGGCAUUGAUGUGUAGGUUUUGAUAGUUGGUGUAGAAUGUUAUGGGAGUAUCUCUCAUGGAGUGAUUGUGUAUGCUUUACGUAUUAGAUAUUUAAGUUGGAGAGUUAGAGAUCAGAUAUGGAGAUUCUGGUACUCUCGCAGUUUAGAGAUGUUAUUUCUGAGAGGCCGACUAUCCCUCUGGUUGCGGACUGUGGAAAUGUGUUCAGGAUUUGACGGUUGAUUGUAUGUGUCAUGGGUAGGCUCACUGUGAACACUUGGUAUAUUAUUUUCCUAUUCUUGAAUUAUCCGAAUUGGUUUGUAGGCCUAUUGGCAGGCCUAAUGAGAAUGUGUAUUUACACUGGAUUAGAUUUACUUAUUCAAAACAACAUUUUUUAUGGGUGUGUCAUCGGGCACAAUGGAUGUUAUUCAUGCUCUGGACUAUUUCAUAUAUUACUCCCAUAUGUUAUAAUAGAUUGUGAGAUGAUUGUGUAAUACACAUGUAGGUUGUGGGGUUGUUUAGGCCUUGUAGAUAUACGAGAGAGAUGGAUCUUGAAAUAUUGAUUUGCUGCACCGUAGAUGUGCUUGCUUUUUUGUUGAGCAUUAUGCUAUCUGCCUCCCCACGAUUAUGUUUAUGCACUUUACAUGCUUAUUGUUGAUGCACAUGUGUUGGGCGAAUAUGAGAAAUAUGGUUUAAUUCCUAUGUGGACUGAUAUGUGAGGAUAGGGUUGCAAUCGGCAACGGUAUUAUGUGUGGACCGGGUUGCAUGUCGUAAUGGAGUUAUAUUGUGUAACGACCCAAACCGAUGGGCCACGAUGGGUGUCUAANNNNNNNNNNNNNNNNNNNNNNNNAGUCCUACCUGUCAAACACCCCUAAACAUGCGUCUAGGAUAUGAACCUGUAUAAUAUCUACUGCAUUACAAAAUUGACAUACGAGAAGGAAAACUGCCAUCAAGGCAUAUGUACGUAUACAUGCAGAAUAUAGUGGGCGAGCCGCCAAGGCUGCUAUAGACAACUAUAAAUCCAAAACUGAAAGCCGACAAGGCUACAUACAUCCCAACUAGACAUACUGUCCAUAGACCUCUAAUAGAAACAUAAUUGAACAAAGACGUGACUGAGCCACGUCAUACCCAUAUACCUAUAUAUAUACAAACAUAUCGUACCAACAUCAAAAGUAGCUCCGGAUCAAAUGGAGCACGCCAACUCUCGCUGAUCAGGGAUCCUAAGAAGGGGGACCUUCAGCUUUCCUACCUGCACCUGCGGGCAUGAAAUGCUAGCCCCGUGAAAUAGGGCGUUAGUACGAAAAAUGUACUGAGUAUGUAAGGCAACAGAAUAACUGAAAGCUGAAACUGAACUGAUAAUAUAAUAAUUGAAAGUAACUAAGAGUCAAAGAUAAUCUAAAGAUAUGUUUACCUGAUGAUAUUGACUCAAUUCUCUUAAUAUAGUAAGUAAAAUAGUUGUCCGGCCCUAUAAGGCUCGGUAUAUAUAUAACUGCUUUGCCGUAGUAGGAUUGUUCAUAGGCGCUCGGCCAUACUAGGCUCUGUAUCUCGGCCAUGCUAGGCUCGCUCAUAGGCGCUCGAUCACAGUAUGCUCGGUAUAUAACUUUCCAUCUGAUCAGAGGUUUCCUAAUAGGGGUCUGCCCAUCGAUUAUAGCUCGAUGGUAAUGAAGAUACUAUAGUACUGUAUAUAUAGGCUCUCUGCUUUCUUGACUGGAACAAGAUAAUACUCAAUUUAAUAAGAAGUCCCGAUAAGGGAGAAUACUGUAAUUUAUGAGAGUAGGAAAUGUACAUAAAUUCAAGAAUAUGAAUUUCUCUUUAUGCCUCGUUAUCAAACUCGUGUAAUGACGAGAUCAUGCCAAAUGAAAGAAGAGAUUAACCUUAACAUACAUGUUCCUUGAAUUAUUUGAACGAAUCUGCUUCUGCAAAAUUCUUGAACGAAAUUUAUACUUGGAUCUGCUUCUAGCGUUUUGGGCUUGGAUUGAAAUUUAAAUUGGACGAAUUUGGUUUCUAAUGUUUUUUUUUUUUGAAUAAAGGUUGGCCAAGGAGUUGAAUUGUUGAAUGUUUGA